rnacentral:lncRNA from 1 species
GUCAAUACAUACAUAAAUUAUUUUGUCAAAAAAAAAAAAAUACAUACAUAAAUUAUAUCCAUAUAAAGCUUAGUUUUUUUCAUUCUAAUACACUUUGUAACUAUAAGAGACUCCAACACCUUCAUAGCUUCCUUUCAUCCGGCAGAAAGUAUAUCCAUUAUUGUAUCAUGUGGUGGAGACACUCCAAACAAGAAGAUCCAUUAUUGUAUCAUGUGGUGGAGACACUCCAAACAAGAAGGCUCUUUGACCAAAUAAACCAAAAAGUACCUAGUACCUGCAUCAAUGAUAGUCGCGUCUGAUCUCAGCACCAAAUCAAAUUUCUUCUCAUAAUGUCUUCAUUGUUAUAUCAUGUGAACAAACCCAAAAUAGUCACUUACUAAAAAACAAACCACUAUGAUCACAAAUCUCACUUAAGUCACAAAUGUUACUCUGCUGGUUAUUAUAUCUACCUAAUCUAACAAAACCACUAUGAUAAAGAUAGAAAUUUUUAAUACGCAAAAUUCAAGCACAAGGUUCAACGAAACCAUACCAAAAGAAUAUGUGUUGGCCACGUAAACAGAGAUCGAGCAGCCAUAACCUAACAGUCCAAAUUUUUGUUUUACUACAUAUAUCCCUGAGAUGAAAAUUAAGUACCACCAAAGAUUAAUUAUGACAUUUCUACUUCCUUAAUAACAAAUAUAAUAAUUAUUGGGAACUCUUGUAAAUAAACGUAAAAAUAAAACCAUUGAAUUUCAAUUAGAUAUGCAUUUUAGUUAGUAAUAUGGUCUAAGAAAAUCUAUGUUGAAAAAAAAAAGCUAACCAUUUGCAACUCAUAGUAAAGCUUUUAUGAAUGCUUCAAUUUAAGGCAAAGAGCUUCCGACGGGAUGAACUUGACCUCUGAACAAACAUAAAGUAACACAAGCAAUUAAGUUAGCCUUCAAAUCAUGUUCUAAAUGAAAAACAUCACCAAAUCAGCUUAUGCAAAAAAUGUACCCAUCGAAGCAAAAACACCACCAAAUCAGAUUUGAAUGAAUAAAAUAAAUGAGAUUGAGAAAGAGAGGGAAACAAACUUGUCUUCAACAUGACGCAGUGUUAGACGAUGUUCAUGCUCGCACUGACGCAGCAUUGGAUCAAGUCAUUUGAUCUAAAUGUAUUCAAGAAGACAUUUAUAAGAUUUUUCCCACCAUAUAUGCUUCUUUAGAUCUGCAUAUUAACAAAUCAGCGAGUCUUAGGCAAGAGUUCUAUGCACCCAAUUAGUGACAGUUAUGGUUCUACCAACAAUAGCCAUACUUUCAGCAAAAUACAAUUAUGGUGGUUCAAAGAUGCAUAUAGAAAAUUUAAUUGGACAUAAAUAUGGCAUGUAAGUGACAAUUGAAAUGCAUN